UCUCGCCUCCCUCCUCCCUCCUCUCCCCUCCCCUCUCACUUCCGCCGGUCAUCUGCAUACCCACUCAUCAUUUUUGCUG
rnacentral:ribozyme from 1 species